GACGAACGCUGGCGGCGUGCUUAACACAUGCAAGUCGAGCGGAGCGGCGAACGGGUGAGUAACGCGUGAGUAACUGCCCCCCUCUCUGGGAUAACAGUUGGAAACGGCUGCUAAUACCGGAUAGUGGGGGAUGACUCGCGUCCUAUGCGCUUGUUGGUGGGGUAGUGGCCUACCAAGGCGACGACGGGUAGCCGGCCUGAGAGGGCGACCGGCCACAUGGGGGUGAGAUACGGCCCAGACUCCUACGGGAGGCAGCAGUGGGGGAUAUGGCACAAGGGGCGAAAGGCUGAUGCAGCGACGCGCGUGGGGGAUGAAGGCUUUCGGGUUGUAAACCUCCUUCACGCCCGCUGGGGUAGGUGGAGAAGAAGCGCCGGCUAACUACGUGCCAGCAGCCGCGGUAAUUC
rnacentral:rRNA from 1 species